rnacentral:rRNA from 1 species
CACCUACGGGACGCAGCAGUGAGGAAUAUUGGUCAAUGGACGAGAGUCUGAACCAGCUAAGUCGCGUGAAGGAAGACUGCCCUAUGGGUUGUAAACUUCUUUUAUAUGGGAAUAAAGUGAGCCACGUGUGGCUUUUUGUAUGUACCAUACGAAUAAGGAUCGGCUAACUCCGUGCCAGCAGCCGCGGUAAUACGGAGGAUCCGAGCGUUAUCCGGAUUUAUUGGGUUUAAAGGGAGCGGAGGCGGAUUAUUAAGUCAGCUGUGAAAGUUUGCGGCUCAACCGCAAAAUUGCAGUUGAUACUGGUG